rfam:Aedes aegypti strain Liverpool supercont1.131 genomic scaffold, whole genome shotgun sequence.
GGAGGUGUGUGUCUUCGUCUGUGAUGGCACGAUAACUGAACAUUGAUCGCUUUACGUGUUAGUUUGCAGAUCUGCUCAGUGGCAACCCGUCACACCUAAAAUACAACUCUGGCAGUCCGGAUCUGGUAUCACGGGUGAACUCUCGCUGCACGGCGCCGGGCCGAACGCACGAUUGAUGUCAUUUGUGAUACAAGACUACUGCCGUUCUUACCCAACUCUUUCCAAAUUGUUGAGUAUAAAAUCGUAAUUUAAUACAGAUAGCUUAGCUUCGGAUUAAAAUUACAUUGUUCAGAACGCUUCCAUAUCACUAGGGCACCGCCGAGCGGUCGGCCCAUUCUUUUG